rnacentral:rRNA from 1 species
GACGAACGCUGGCGGCGUGCCUAAUACAUGCAAGUAGAACGCUGAAGGAGGAGCUUGCUUCUCUGGAUGAGUUGCGAACGGGUGAGUAACGCGUAGGUAACCUGCCUGGUAGCGGGGGAUAACUAUUGGAAACGAUAGCUAAUACCGCAUAAUAGUAGAUGUUGCAUGACAUUUGCUUAAAAGGUGCAAUUGCAUCACUACCAGAUGGACCUGCGUUGUAUUAGCUAGUUGGUGGGGUAACGGCUCACCAAGGCGAUGAUACAUAGCCGACCUGAGAGGGUGAUCGGCCACACUGGGACUGAGACACGGCCCAGACUCCUACGGGAGGCAGCAGUAGGGAAUCUUCGGCAAUGGACGGAAGUCUGACCGAGCAACGCCGCGGGAGUGAAGAAGGGUUUCGGAUCGUAAAGCUCUGUUGUAAGAGAAGAACGAGUGUGAGAGUGGAAAGUUCACACUGUGACGGUAUCUUACCAGAAAGGGACGGCUAACUACGUG